rnacentral:rRNA from 1 species
UGGGGAAUAUUGCGCAAUGGGCGAAAGCCUGACGCAGCGACGCCGCGUGGAGGAUGAAGGUUUUAGGAUUGUAAACUCCUGUUAAGUGGGAAGAAAAAUCUACCAGUAAUAUGGGUAGGUUAUGACGGUACCGCUAAAGAAAGCACCGGCUAACUUCGUGCCAGCAGCCGCGGUAAUACGAGGGGUGCAAGCGUUAUUCGGAUUUACUGGGCGUAAAGGGUGUGUAGACGGUUUAUUAAGUCUGUUGUUAAAUACUCUGGCUUAACUGGAGAUCAGCAAUGGAAACUAGUAGACUAGAGGUUGGGAGAGAGAAGUGGAAUUCCCGGAGUAGCGGUAAAAUGCGUAGAUCUCGGGAGGAACACCGAUGGCGAAGGCAGCUUCUUGGCCCAUACCUGACGUUGAGACACGAAAGCGUGGGGAGCAAACAGG